rfam:Triticum aestivum genome assembly, contig: Triticum_aestivum_CS42_TGACv1_scaffold_222178_3B
AAAGUACUCCGUCCGUCCCAAAAUUCUUGUCUUAGAUUUGUCUAGAUACAGAUGUAUCAAGUCACAGAUACAUCCGUAUCUAGACAAAUCUAAGACAAGAAAUUUGGGACAGAGGGAGCUGUUG